GACGAACGCUGGCGGCGUGCCUAAUACAUGCAAGUCGAGCGCAGGAAGCCGUCUGAACCCUUCGGGGGGACGACGGUGGAAUGAGCGGCGGACGGGUGAGUAACACGUAAAGAACCUGCCCAUAGGUCUGGGAUAACCACGAGAAAUCGGGGCUAAUACCGGAUGUGUCAUCGGACCGCAUGGUCCGCUGAUGAAAGGCGCUUCGGCGUCGCCCAUGGAUGGCUUUGCGGUGCAUUAGCUAGUUGGUGGGGUAACGGCCCACCAAGGCGACGGUGCCGAGCCGACCUGAGAGGGGGAUCGGCCACACUGGGACUGAGACACGGCCCAGACUCCUACGGGAGGCAGCAGUAGGGAAUCUUCCACAAUGGACGAAAGGCUGAUGGAGCAACGCCGCGUGAACGAUGAAGGCUUUCGGGUCGUAAAGUUCUGUUGUAAGGGAAGAACAAGUGCCGCAGGCAAUGGCGGCACCUUGACGGUACCUUGCGAGAAAGCCACGGCUAACUACGUGCCAGCCGCCGCGGUAA
rnacentral:rRNA from 1 species